rnacentral:rRNA from 1 species
AGUGAACGCUGGCGGUAGGCCUAACACAUGCAAGUCGAACGGCAGCACAGUAAGAGCUUGCUCUUACGGGUGGCGAGUGGCGGACGGGUGAGGAAUACAUCGGAAUCUACUUUUUCGUGGGGGAUAACGUAGGGAAACUUACGCUAAUACCGCAUACGACCUACGGGUGAAAGCAGGGGAUCUUGGGACCUUGCGCGAUUGAAUGAGCCGAUGUCGGAUUAGCUAGUUGGCGGGGUAAAGGCCCACCAAGGCGACGAUCCGUAGCUGGUCUGAGAGGAUGAUCAGCCACACUGGAACUGAGACACGGUCCAGACUCCUACGGGAGGCAGCAGUGGGGAAUAUUGGACAAUGGGCGCAAGCCUGAUCCAGCCAUACCGCGUGGGUGAAGAAGGCCUUCGGGUUGUAAAGCCCUUUUGUUGGGAAAGAAAAGCAGCAGGUUAAUACCCCGCUGCUCUGACGGUACCCAAAGAAUAAGCACCGGCUAACUUCGUG